UGGCAGGAUUUGGCCGGCGCCGAGAGUCGUCUCAUAAGCGAUUCGUGAUGGGUUCAACUCCCAUUCCUGCCAU
rnacentral:tRNA from 1 species